rnacentral:lncRNA from 1 species
GUCAGCCCUGUGUAUAGUUAGUUGUUUAGUAUUUGAAAUGCAGCUACUGUGACUAAGGAACUGAAUGUUAAAUUUUAUUUAGUUUCAUUUAAUUUCAGUUUGAAUUUAGUUAGCCAUAUGUGUGGCUAAUGGUGCUAUACUAGAAAGUACAGAUAAAGAACAUUUCCAUGAUUUUUUAAAAUUUUAAUUUGAGAUUAGGGCCUUUCUAUGUAGUUCAGGCUGGCUUCGAACUUGCAGCAGUCCUCCUGCCUCAGCCUCUCAAGUGCUGGUAUUACCGGUGUGACCCACUAAGGAACAUUUUCAUGAUUCUAGUGAGAGUUCUGAUGGACAGCGACUCCAGACUUGAUUAUUUGAACUUUUACAGAAUGAGGACUCUCCCUUCAUAAUUUGACAUGGAUGCUAGGUGCUAUUUCAAGAAAGGCAAGAAAAUUUAAAGGGCUUUUGGAGUAUUUACUACGCCUGUGAUUUGAGUCCAGGCCUGUGUAGUCUUGUGAUGGGUCUUAUAAGCCGAGAAAGAUAAACCAGUAUCUUAGUUGUAUGUUUAUGAGUUGAUUAUAGACCGAGGGAUUCUACACAGCUCAUUAAAGGUGAAAGGAGUAUAACUAGAAAAUAGAACAGGUAGUCUCUUUGCACAUUACCCAUCAUUCUCCACAGGGCCAGUUUAGAUUUACGUUUGGCAGUGUCUUUAGUAGUUUAAAACUUUCAAAACAACAUGGUGGGGCUGGGGAUUUAGCUCAGUGGUUCAUUGGCCUGCCUUGCAAGUGCAAGGACCCGAGUUCAAUCCCCGCUACAAAACAGAAAACAAAAAACAUGGUAAGAACUGAGAAAUCUGUUUUUUAAAAUUAUUGGGUUUUAUGUGUUUUAACACAUUCCUAUUCUGGUUACUAGUGAUUUCUUUGGGUAACAUAGUUGUGAACUUGAGGUUAUCAGUGGUGCUGCUUUUUUUCUACUUAGAGAAAAAAUGUAAGACUAAUUUUAUAUUCUUUCCAGGGGGAAUCCACUGGUCUGGUGAAGUGUUGCCAUUGUAUUUCAGUGUCAUUCAUUCCCUUGCUACAGUAUUCUUUCUACCUUCCCAACCAAAAGCUGUUUCCACGUACAGAACAAAGUAGGAUUGAGAAUAAUAAACAGGUAAGUACAGGCUUAAUAGAUAACGUUAAAAAUGUUGAAUUCAAGAAGGAAUGAAUAAGUAGCAUGUAGCCUUAAAGGAAGCUUAAAUGUUUCAUCAGGAAAAACUGACAUCUGUGCCAAAAAUUAAGAUUAGCCAGGCAAAGUGCCACAGGGCAUUAGUCCCAGCUACUGUAGAGACUGAGGCUGGAAGACACUUUGAGGCCAGCUAAGGCAGCACAGCAAGGGGUUCUUUUUUAUGUACCCAUACUGCUUAUUAUACUUUCUCUUAGGUUGUUGUAUAUAUUUUAAUCAUAGAACUUUUCUUCAUUAGUCUUUGACCAUCCUGAAAAGAUGAAUAAAUUACUGUUAUUCAUUCUUCUGUUCCCUUUUGUUUAGCAUGGAGUCUCAGGUGAACGUAUUUUUUUUUAAACGAGAACA